UACGGAGGAUGCGAGCGUUAUCCGGAUUUAUUGGGUUUAAAGGGUGCGUAGGCGGGUUAUCAAGUCAGCGGUAAAAUCGUGGAGCUCAACUCCAUCCAGCCGUUGAAACUGAUGAUCUUGAGUGGGCGAGAAGUAUGCGGAAUGCGUGGUGUAGCGGUGAAAUGCUUAGAUAUCAGGAGGAACAUCGGUGGCGUAAGCGCUUUACUGGGCCGUAAUUGACGCUGAGGAACGAAAGCCAGGGUAGCAAAUGGG
rnacentral:rRNA from 1 species